GGUCUGUGAUGCGGUGACAUAGAGGAUCUCAGGGUAACCAAGACUCUGUUACAAGGGACUUUUGAACCAGAGGGCCUCGGGGUAACCAAGACCCUUCUUUGGGGGACAUUUAACAGACCAAGUACUUGAGAGGGGAAAAGAAGAGAAGAAAAGAAGUCUCCAUCUAGGACUGAUUGAAUGUUUUCAGAGGACUAUCCACAAUGACUCCAAGAUCUCUUUCUUGAGUGGAAACAGCUAGUGUACAACCCAUCAUUAUCUCCUCCAGUUCAGCCACUCUGCUCUCAAGAGCCUGUACUUAUUCUCUGAGGACCAUGAAUUGCUUGUACUGAAGGCAAACAUAUGCCACUUGUCCACCAUGCAGUCAUUAUCAUGGCUCUUCUCUGAACCUUCUCCAAUUCUUCAACAUCCUUUUUGAACUGUGGACACCAGAACAGGAUACAGUGUUCCAGCAGUGAUCCCACCAGUGCUAAAUACAGAGUGGGAGAAUGCAGCUGCAUACAUCGUAUGAUCUUCUAUAGAAAAGCCUUACAGACACAGGUACCUUAGUGAUUGUUCCAGCCAAGUGCAGGAUGUGAACCGUCCAUUGAGCUGUUGUGAAGAAACGACAGACUGGAAAAAAGAGAGGUUGGAACAGACUGCACUGAGGCACAGGAAAAAAGCGCAACAGCACAAAGGAAGGGACAUUCCAUGGAAAGGAAAGCCGGCUACGGUAGCCAUAGAAGUGUUUAAGGGCUCUACAGUUUCAUUUUCUUCUUCCCUUCUUCCUUGAAGGAAGAGCGCAAAUGUGAAGAAUGCAGCAAGUGUCAGACUACAGCUACAAUUCUUUAAAAUAUCCUACCCCCAGCAAUGAGAACCACUCCCUGGACAUAAGAAUGGCCAGACUGGGUCAGACCAUAGGUCCAGCCAGCCCAGUAUCCUGUCUACUGACAGUGGCCAAUGCCAGGUGCCCCAGAGGGAGUGAACCUAACAGGUAAUGAUCAAGUGAUCUCUCUCCUGCCGUUCAUCACCACCCUCUGACAAACAGAGGCUAGGGACACCAUUCCUUACCCAUCCUGGCUAAUAGCCAUUAAUGGACUUAACCUCCAUGAAUUUAUCCAGUUCUCUUUUAAACCCUGUUAUAGUCCUAGCUUUCACAACCUCCUCAGGCAAGGAGUUCCACAAGUUGACCGUGUGCUGUGUGCAGAAGAACUCCCUUUUAUUUGUUUUAAAUCUGCUGCCCAUUAAUUUCAUUGGUGGCCCCUAGUUCUUAUAUUAUGGGAACAAGUAAAUAACUUUUCCUUAUUCACAUUUCACCUCUAUAGUCUCCUCUUUUCCAAGCUGAAAAGUCCUAGCCUCUUUAAUCUCUCCUCAUAUGGGACCCAUUCCAAACCCCUAAUAAUUUUAGUUGCCCUUCUCUGAACCUUUUCUAAUGCCAGUAUAUCUUUUUUGAGAUGAGGAGGCCACAUCUUUACGGAGUAUUCAAGAUGUGGGCAUACCAUGGAUUUAUAUAAGGGCAAUAAGAUAUUCUCCAUCUUAUUCUCUAUCCCCUUUUUAAUGAUUCCUAACAUCCUGUUUGCUUUUUUGACUGCCGCUGCACACUGCGUGGAUGUCUUCAGAGAACUAUCUGGAAUGACUCCAAGAUCUUUUUCCUGAUUAGUUGUAGCUAAAUUAGCCCCCAUCAUACUGUAUGUAGAAUUGGGGUUAUUUUUCCCAAUGUGCAUUACUUUACAUUUAUCCACAUUAAAGUUCAUUUGCCAUUUUGUUGCCCAAUCACUUAGUUUUGGGAGAUCUUUUUGAAGUUCUUCACAGUGUGCUUUGGUCUUAACUAUCUUGAGCAGUUUAGUAUCAUCUGCAAACUUUGCCACCUCACUUUUUACCCCUUCCUCCAGAUCAUUUAUGAAUAAGUUGAAUAAGAUUGGUCCUAGGACUGACCCUUGGGGAACCCACUAGUUACCCCUCUCCAUUCUGAAAAUUUACCAUUUAUUCCUACCCUUUGUUCUCUGUCUUUUAACCAGUUCUCAAUCCAUGAAAGGAUCUUCCCUCUUAUCCCAUGACAUCUUGGUUUACGUAAGAGCCUCUGAUGAGGGACCUUGUCAAAGGCUUUCUGGAAAUCUAAGUACACUAUGUCCACUGGAUCCCCCUUGUCCAUAUGUUUGUUGACCCCUUCAAAGAAAUUUAAUAAAAAUAGAGAAAUUAAAAAAGGCUUUCUGGAAAUCUAAGUACACUAUGUCCACUGGGUCCCCCUUGUUCACAUGUUUGUUGACCCCUUCAAAGAAAUCUAAUAGAUUAGUAAGACAUGAUUUCCCUUUAUAGAAACCAUGUUGGCUUUUGUCCAACAAUUUAUGUUCUUCUAUGUGCCUGACAAUUUUAUUCUUUACAAUUGUUUCAACUAAUUUGCCCGGUACUGACGUUAGACUGUAAUUGCUGGGAUCACCUUUAGAGCCCUUUUUAAAUAUUGGCGUUACAUUAGCUAUUUUCCAGUCAUUGGGUACAGAAGCUGAUUUAAAGGACAGGUUACAAACCAUAGUUAGUAGUUCCGCAAUUUCACAUUUGAAUUCUUUCAUCUGACGAAGUGGGUAUUCACCCACAAAAGCUUAUGCUCCAAUACAGCUGUUAGUUUAUAAGGUGCCACAGGACUCUUUGUCGCUUUUUACAGAUCCACACUAACACGGCUAUCCCUCUGAUACUUCAGAAGUCUUGGGUGAAUGUCAUCUGAUCCCAAGUAUCAGGGGGUAGCCAUGUUAGUCUGUAUCUACAAAACCAACAAGGAGUCUGGUGGCACGUUAAAGACUAAC